GACGAACGCUGGCGGCGUGCCUAACACAUGCAAGUCGAGCGAGUGAAUCUCCUUCGGGAGUGAAGCUAGCGGCGGACGGGUGAGUAACACGUGGGCAACCUGCCUCAUAGAGGGGAAUAGCCCUUCGAAAGGAAGAUUAAUACCGAAUAAGAUUGUAGCCUCGCACGAAGUAGCAAUUAAAGGAGCAAUCCGCUAGGAGAUGGGCCCGCGGCGCAUUAGCUAGUUGGUGAGGUAACGGCUCACCAAGGCGACGAUGCGUAGCCGACCUGAGAGGGUGAUCGGCCACAUUGGGACUGAGACACGGCCCAGACUCCUACGGGAGGCAGCAGUGGGGAAUAUUGCACAAUGGGGGAAACCCUGAUGCAGCAACGCCGCGUGAGUGAUGACGGCCUUCGGGUUGUAAAGCUCUGUCUUCAGGGACGAUAAUGACGGUACCUGAGGAGGAAGCCACGGCUAACUACGUGCCAGCCGCCGCAGUAACAC
rnacentral:rRNA from 1 species